rnacentral:tRNA from 1 species
GAAGGUGUGGCUGAGUGGUCAAAAGAGGUAGACUGUAAAUCUAUUGAAGUUUUUCUACGUAGGUUCAAAUCCUGUCUCUCCCA